rnacentral:rRNA from 1 species
UCCAAUCAGUGAAACUGAUCUCUCCGUGAAGAAGCGGGGAUACAAAUAUAAGACGAGAAGACCCCAUGGAGCUUUAAACCCAACGACACCCAUUUUCUUUAUACCCUAGUAUUCAUUUGGCUAUGUUUGAUUGGUUUUAGGUUGGGGUGACCACGGAGCAUAAAAUAACCUCCACGAAGAAGAGACUAAUAAUCUUUAUCAAAGAAGUACACUUCUAAGAAUUAACAAAUUAAUUUCCAAUGAUCCGAUAUUCGAUCAACGAACCAAGUUACCCUGGGGAUAACAGCGCAAUCCACCUCAAGAGCUCCUAUCGACAGGUGGGUUUACGACCUCGAUGUUGGAUCAGGAUAUCCCAGUGGUGUAGCAGCUACUAAGGGUUCGUUUGUUCAACGAUUAAAAUCCU